AAACCAGCACCUCAAGUGGUCAGGAGGAUUAUUGGGCCUAAAGCAUCCGUAGCCUGUUCUAUAAGUUUCCGGUUAAAUCCAUUAGCUCAACUAAUGGGCCGCCGAAAAUACUGUGGAACUAGGGAGUGGGAGAGGUAGACGGUACUCGGUAGGAAGGGGUAAAAUCCUUUGAUCUAUUGAUGACCACCUGUGGCGAAGGCGGUCUACCAGAACACGUUCGACGGUGAGGGAUGAAAGCUGGGGGAGCAAACCGGAUUAGAUACCCCAGUAGUCC
rnacentral:rRNA from 1 species